rnacentral:tRNA from 2 species
GUAAUUGUAGUUCAAUUUGGUUAGAACGUCUAAUUGUGGCUUAGAAGGUUCCCGGUUCAAUCCCGGGUAUUUACC